rnacentral:misc_RNA from 1 species
AACCACAGCACACCUGAUCAUUUCUUAGUUCCUAACCCUGGCUGCAAAUAACCGCUGUUUGUUUCCGUUAAGUUCUGGUCUUUCAUUUCUGUUCUUCCACUUCCUUUUCCUUCCUCCCAAUUUCAGUUCUCACAGGAACGCGAUCAAACAAAAAUGAUGGGAAAUUGAAACAGUAACAGAGCAAAAAACAAUCUAAAAAACUUUUUUUUUUUUUUAAAUUAAUCAACAAUAUAAUGUUCAUGAUAAUGAUUAUUUCUACCAACAUAAAACAGAUACAGUUAUUUGGGGCUUUUGUGCUUAAAGGUGAUUAUGUGCAAAUAAUACAAAGAUCCAUAAGCAAAUAGCUUGAUGAUGGAAUUAUAACUCUUAAAAUGUCUUCCCUACAGUUCACUAUGCAUGCUGACCAGCAGAGGGGGAAAAUUAGACAAAACACUAUUUCAAGCUUAUGAAGCAGCAAUGUGCUGCAGGAAUUCUGGAACAUAUGGAGUUAAAUUUACUCGUAUUGAUAAGAAAAUAGCAUAUAUCCUUAGCAAAAGUAAACUUCCAUUUGAAGAUUUUGGAUUAACAUUAUUGAUUUUGUUCAAGUUAAGAAAGCAAAUAACUUGCUGUUUGGAUAACAUACCAAUGUCAAGAGGAUCAUGAGUCUCUGUAUCAAUCUGAAACUUGACUUCAGCAGAAGCAAGAGUUAGUGCUCCUCUCUCAAUUCUUCUCUGCCUCAUUAUCUUUGCCAAAGCAUUUAUAUUUCUCAAAUCUUUAGUUACUGGAUCCAUCAACCGACUAUCAUCCAUCCUAGCCUGUGCUUCAACAUAAGACAAUGCUGCCCAAGAUUUUAUGACACUUUUUGUGUAUCUUGUAGAAAUUAUCUCUGCUUCAGCGUUCAUUUCCCAAAUAACAGAAAAUGCUAGCCUUUCCACAUCAGCUCGAAGAGAACAUAUAUCUUCUGUUAGUGGUUUUGGAAGCAUGUCAAUACGACGCUCAACAAGGUACACAGAUGUGCCUCUUUGUGUAGCCUCAUCAUCAAGUGGGGUGCCCAGAUGAACGAAGUUUGUUACAUCAGCAAUGUGAACUCCAACUUCAAAAUUUCCAUUUGGAAGCAUUGUACAGUGUAGUGCAUCAUCAAUAUCCUUGCAUCCUGGCGGGUCAACACUAAAGACACGCAAAUGCCGUAGGUCUGUCCUAAUAGGAUUCACCAAAUCUUGUUCAGAAAUUGACCAUGGUAAUGGUGGCAAGCAUGCCAAAACUUGAGCAGAAAAUGGUCUUGCAUCUAUAUCAUUCUCUAUCAAGACAACCUCAGUUUCAGUAUCUCUAUCACCUAUCUCUCCUAUACUUCGUACAUAAUGACCAGAAGGAUAACGUGAUUGACGGUCCCAAGAAUCAACAGCCACAAUAAUUCUUUUGUCCAGAAGAUUUUCAAGCUGCCGGGUUUGAAUUCGAAUCUUAGGAAUUCUUCUAUCUUUGGAGACAAAUAGAGCAUAGACAAGACCACCACUUCCUGCAGGCAUUCGCAUUGGCUCCAGAGAUCCACAAUAGGAAUGCCAAUUACGCUUAAUGAUGCCAACAACACGACCACACGGAUGACCAGAGAUAUGAUUUUUGCCACUAGCAGAACCUCCUGAUACUGGAUUCAUAGUUCUAGGGGCAUCAUCCGCACUGUUUGGAACUAGAUGAACUUCUUCAUCAUCAUUAUCAUCUUCAUCUGCUAUAGACAAAGAUCCAUCUUCACGCCACUGAUCCUGGGGAAGAAUUUCCACUGCCACUAUAUCACCAUCAAAAGCCCUAUUCAUAUUUCCACGACCAUAAAUGACUAUUUCAUCGCCAAUGCUCUCACUGCCAACAUAUGCUUCAAAUGGAUUAUAACGAUUAACGCAAAGUUUUCCCUGAUGAUAUAUUCCGCUGGUCAAACCAGCAGUAAUCUCUGACAUGGGCUUAUGCUCUGAAUAAACAACCUUCCUCUUUGAAGGUCUCAAAUCUUCAACUUCCUCCAUGACUACAUCCUCAGAAGCAGGCUGAGCAAGAAGGUCAAGCAAAGCUGGUUGACCCAAUGAUUUCACGUAAGACUCAAUUGUCUCUGCAGAAACACCCUCUUCAGUAGCCUUCCUCUUAUUUUCCCUAUCAUUAGUGAGAAGUAAAACCUUUGCUGCAUCUCCAAGAUGACUCUGAUACCAUCUGGUAGCAACCCUAAUUGCUCUAUCAUUUCGAUCAUUAGGGCUUUCUCCACUCAUGUUCUGAACAUAUGUAUCCCUAUGGAAUUCAUUGGAGAAAACAAAAAAUUUCCUAGCAGGAUUGCUGCAGAGGGCACGAAUUCUAUUAUAAAUAGCACUAUUCUUGUUCUUCACCUCUUGAAGUACAACUGAUAACACAACCACAUCUUCAAUAGCUGGAUUCUCAAGCAAAUCAAUCUGAUUGAGAACAACAUUAGUGUCAAGAACAAGGAUAGUGGAAGCAGAAGCAGUCAAGCGAGCAGCAGAGGUAUCGCAUACUUUACAAAAUGAAGCUCCACAGUAAAUGUCAUCUCUGAGAUACACUUCUCUUACGUGCUUUUGAAUUUUGCCUCCUCGAGUCUUCUUACUGAAGGUUUUACUGUGUAACAUGUCGAGCAGAAAAGGAUUGGUGCAGCUAUAUAAUUGUCUUCUUCUUCUUCUUCUUCUUAACCGAGCAGUGUGGUUGUUUGUUUAAUUGUUUGUGGAGUCUCAAGUGGGUACAUAUAUCAUGACUUGUAUGAUGCAUCAUUUGGACCUUACUUUCAUAUAAGCUGUGAUUUUGGUGCCCCUGGAUUGCGUGUAUUAUGAAACGCGGAAGACGUUUAUCCAAAUAUUUGAAUUAAGUUAUUUAAAAAUAAUAAAAACAACAACAACAACUCUGAAG